GCUAGACGUAGCCAAUCAUAGGUAGUUCUUCAUCAAUAUUCAUUCUUUAGGUCACCUCUGGGCUGUGAAGAAUAGCUAUGGUACUUCAGUAGGUGAAAGAUCAGUCUCAAGAAUAUUCCAUGCAGAUUACAUAGUUCAUAGAAAAAUAAAAAACACGCAAGGGAUCACAAAGGCGAGCUACAUUUUUCCUCAAUAAUGAUCGAGGAGCGCUUGUAUGGACUAAGAAGACGCAUAUAGCUCCGGCCCUAGUCGAGGAGCACGUGAUGGAGAUCUGUAUGGAGAUGUAUACCGCUCCUCUGUCAUGGCCGAAGAGUGUGCAUUGGAGAUCUGCAUAGAGAUGCAUACCGCUCUUUGGUUGUGGCUGAGGAGCGCACGUUGGAGAACCACAUGGAGAUGCAUAUCGCUCCUUGACCGUACAUGGUCGAGGAGCGUGCAAUGAAGAUCCACAUGGGGAUGCAUGCCACUUCUCAAC
rnacentral:lncRNA from 1 species